GAGAACCUAGAGAUCCAGGGAAGGGAGUGAUAAUGGAAAUUCAUCAUCGAGGGGCAAACAGCGACAAAGCCACUGAGAGACACCCAUACAGAGGAGGGAAGAAGUAGAAAUAGGAAGGGGUAAAAAAAGGGGAGGAGCACGAGCGUGGAGAAAACCAGCUCAUGCAUCCCAGGACUGCAGUACAAAAUAGUAAUGCAGUCAAUGUGAAGAAAGAAUUCAGAGGUGGGAGCCACAGCCACGAGUCAUUCGGUCGAACCAGACCUUGCAGUCCAGAAACCACCGAAGAUCGGGUUGGGGUUGGAUGUUAAUGAUCCCU
rnacentral:rRNA from 1 species